CUUGAAAUCACUUAGGGGAACACACCCCUGACACACAGAAUGUAGGCAUGGUAGAAGUUGAGGAUUUCUGUCACGCUUCAAUUCCGUACAACACAAACCACAACCAUCGAGGGGCCACAGUGGUCGCACGGUUACAGGAGGCGAGAGAGGACGGAGGAGAGAGAACGCAGGAAUUGAGCGGACAAAUUGAGAAAAGGCCCUAGAUGUCAAAACUCUUCUGUGAAGUUCUCAGUUUCUGGGUCACAGAAGAGAGGAGGACAGAGGAGAAGGUGGAGAACUGACUUUUACCCAAAUGAGAAAAGGUCUAGGCCUAUUUGAAGUUAAAGCAAAUUGCCCACAAUUUAUGAAUUUAGCUACAAAAAAUUUAAAUAAAUAUAUCAGGUUACCAGCGCUAGUUUAUUG
ensembl:lncRNA